rnacentral:misc_RNA from 1 species
AGACUCUCAAAUAAAGGUGGCUUUGCAGCCAUCUCUGUUUGGAUUUGGGCUUUGCUGCAUUAAUGUGGCUAGUCUUAAAUGUAUUAGCUGGUCCUUAUUGGAGUUGUGGUUCUACUCGGCGUGAUAAUUAUCUAACGUUGAGGACAGUGUUAGAACUGGCCAUAGCUCUCUCUCUGGAUUGCUUCUAAAGGAAAAUUGUCUUGAAGGGACAAUCACUCAAU